rnacentral:rRNA from 1 species
UACGAAGGGUGCAAGCGUUACUCGGAAUUACUGGGCGUAAAGCGUGCGUAGGUGGUGAGUUAAGUCUGUCGUGAAAGUCCAGGGCUCAACCCUGGAAUGCCGGUGGAUACUGGCGGGCUAGAGUCCGGAAGGGGCGAGUGGAAUUCCUGGUGUAGCGGUGAAAUGCGCAGAUAUCAGGAGGAACACCAAUGGCGAAGGCAGCUCGCUGGGACGUGACUGACGCUGAGACGCGAAAGCGUGGGGAGCAAACAGG